UAUAUCCGUUGGGAAACUUUCAAAACUAUCUAGUAGGCAUCCGGUUAUCUGGAAUAAUUAUCGAAAGGCAUCCGGUAGUUAUCGGUAGAGUCUAGUAGUUAACGGUUGCUCUCGGAUCAUUAAAGCCCUAUCAAGUUCUACGAAAAUUGAACUGAACCGGUAGUUACUGGUUCCUACUGGCCUCUGGUUUUUGUCAUAUUCAGAUAGACUAUACCAAAAUAUUCAUAUCUUCCUGAUCCAAAGUAUUGAGAUGAUUUAAGUUGCGUUAGAUUCACAACUCAAUGCUCUACAACUUUGUAGAAGAAAUCAUCUUCAGAUACUGUCAUAUGAAAUGACUAAAGUGCCUUUGAACAUGAACCUCAUUGAAGUCACAAAAAUUGUCCUGACAUGUUAUAACUGACAUGUAUCCAAACUUAUUUGGGUCUUAUUACUUAGUCAUUUGGCAUCACCUAGGGACAUUCUAGGUUAAGAUAAAAUUAAGGAUGCAACAUGUAAUGCAUGCUUAUGAGAUAUAGUGUAGUGCUUGUGUAUGGUAUGCACCCUAUUACAUAGAGCUACACUUAAGGUCUUCUCUUUUUCGUGUAGUUGGUCCUCAAGAGUCUUCAUGUUGACCUUGCAAGCUUGAUGUCUUCAGUGUACUUCAAUUCACUUCAAGCUUUGAUACUUUGAGAUCUUGAUUCUCUAAAGUCUGAUAUCGUCUGAUACCUUCUUCAAGUAUUGAUAUCAAUUUGUUGAUACUCUCCAUUUGAUGACUUCAAUCUUCAUUUCUUCCUUUCAUUCAUCAAAUUCAAUCUUUGAUAUAAAGUCUCUAUAAAACAAUACUUGAUGAAAAAUUAUGAAAUACCUUCAUAUGUUUGUUAUCAUCAAAACCAACUAUAGGAGUCUGGACAUAUCCCUAACAUGGGUAAUUUUGUCUUUUGACCAUUAUAGGAUCAAGGUGACUUGAAGUGGGGAUAUCAGACCAUUGAGGAUGCAUUAGUCCUUGGUAAAUGCUAAAACUCAUCCAUUAGAUAUAACGACAUUGUAGAAUAACUCUAAGGGUUUUGCCCUAGAAAUUAACAUUUUGUCCUUGAACCCUGAUUUACCAUUUUUCCACUGGACAAUAAUUUGAAUCUUAUUUUAAUUAUAAUGUCAACCCUAAUAUUGAAUUAUUGAAUUAUAUAUAUAUAUAUAUAUGUACACAUAAACUUAUUAUUCACAUGGACAAUUAACUAACUAGCGGAUAAGACCUAACUAACUAAUUGUUGUUAAUUAAUAAUUAAAAAUUGAAGACUUUCCUAAUAAUGGGGUGCUUUUAUUUUGAAAUUUGAAAUGCAUUGAUCAUAAAGUAAGUGAGAUAAAGUAGGAAAAGUGAGAGAAAGAGUUAGAGAUCAAUUGUAACUAGAAUAGAGGAAGAGAGAGUUGGAGAUGAAGUAGGAAAGAUAGAGAUAGACUUAGAGAUGAAUUAGAAGGGCAAAGAGAAGAAAAAAAAUGUUACUCUAUUACUUCUCACCCUCUAUUUAAUAAAAAUUAUAAGUAAAAAAAAAAAAAGUGAAAUAAAGAAAAAAAAAAGGUAUUGUAGAGAAGAAAGAGGAAGAAAAAAAAAAGGAGAAAAGAAAUCAAGGGUUUGAAUGAUUUUCAUGGUAGGAGUUUUUAGGAUGAUUAAAUUACUCUUUAUGUUCUACUUGGAGGAUAGAUCAUGAUUUAAAGGUAUGGAAAUUUGGAUUAUAGGUUUGGUGAGAGAGAACAUAAGAUUUUGAUAUGUUAACAGUCUUAUCUAGGUCCGACAGAAUAGUAGUCCAAGAUUAUUCAUAUUAUUGAAUAUAUUUAAUGAUUGUUUUAUGAUCUAAAAUAAUUAUUGAGAGUACAUAAAUGUAUUUACGUGACCUCUUAAAAUUUUCAUUAAAUUUGGAGUUGAUUUAAUACACCGAACAAUUUAGGCACCCAGAGAGGUCACAAUCAAUGAAGUUUUCUGUAUCCGAGAAUGGGGGCUAGUGACAGAGGAUUAUGGACUUUGAAUUUUAAUUUGAUUUUUACCAUAACAACUUUUAUAAGUAUUCUAAAUUUCUAAAAAACUUGAAAGUGAUUUUAGUUCAGGAAAGUGGUUUAAAUAAUUUCUUAAAUAUAUUGGAUAAAAUCUGUUACAGUCUGAAGACCGUUUUUGAGGGGGAUUGAUACCUAACCUAAGAAGGUUAUUUUGAUAUUAUUUUCAUAUGAGACUUAUAUAUAUAUAUAUAUAUAUAUGUUAGGUUUCAAUAGAAUCUAAUUUCAACUUAUUUAGAAUUUCAGAGGUAUUUAUUUCUUAUUUUUCUAUGGCAGUAGGCAGAAUAGGUUAAGGCAGAAUUUUGGGAAAGACAUCAAGAUGACAUUGGUGAGGAUUAUUAUAAAGAUAACGUGAAUGUUGAAACUACUAUUGAUCAGCGGGAGGACACAACUUAUGGAUUUGAAGAAGACAAUUCUUUUUAUUUUUAGAUGACGUAGAUUUUUAAUUAGACUUUAAAGAUAUAAUUUAAUUCAACAUUACUUUAAGUUUGAAAGUUGAAAUAGACCAUUGAAUUUUGAAUUUCAAUGUUAUAUUUGUUUAAUUAA